AGAGUUUGAUCCUGGCUCAGGACGAACGCUGGCGGCGUGGAUUAGGCAUGCAAGUCGAACGCGAAAGCUUCCUUCGGGAAGUGAGUAGAGUGGCGAACGGGAGAGUAACGCGUGGAAAACCUACCAUCGAGUGGGGGAUAACACUUCUAACGGAGUGCUAAUACCGCAUGAAUCGGGAUGUCGCACCUGGGAAAGCGGGCCUCUACUUGUAAGCUCGUGCUCGAUGAUGGUUCCGCGUCCCAUUAGCUUGUUGGUGGGGUAAUGGCCUACCAAGGCAACGAUGGGUAGCCGGCCUGAGAGGGUGUCCGGCCUCACUGGGACUGAGAUACGGCCCAGACUCCUACGGGAGGCAGCAGUCGAGAAGCUUCGGCAAUGGGCGAAAGCCUGACCGAGCGACGCCGCGUGAGCGAUGAAGGCCCUUGUGUCGUAAAGCUCUGUUAGGAGGGAAGAAGACAUUAUACUAAAAGGUAUAAUGGUGACGGUACCUCCAGAGGAAGCCCCGGCUAACUCCGUGCCAGCAGCCGCGGUAAUACGGAGGGGGCAAGCGUUAUUCGGAAUUAUUGGGCGUAAAGAGUUCGUAGGCUGGGAACUAAGUCAGGUGUGAAAUUGCUACGGCUCAACCGAGCAAGGUCACUGAAACUUUAAGACUUGAGUGUGGUAGAGGUCGGCGGAAUUCCAGGUGUAGCGGUGGAAUGCUUAGAUAUCUGGAAGAACACCGGUGGCGAAGGCGGCCAACUGGGCCUGUACUGACGCUGAGGAACGAAAGCCAGGGGAGCAAACGGGAUUAGAUACCCCGGUAGUCCUGGCUGUAAACGAUGGGUACCAGGUGUGAGAGGUAUCGACCCCUUUCGCGCCGCACUUAACGGAUUAAGUACCCCGCCUGGGGAGUACGGCCGCAAGGUUGAAACUCAAAGGAAUUGACGGGGGCCCGCACAAGCGGUGGAGCAUGUGGUUUAAUUCGACGCAACGCGAAGAACCUUACCUGGGCUUGAACUGCUGGGUAAACCUGAUUAAAGUCGUUUUCCCUUCGGGGCAAGUACACAGGUGCUGCAUGGCUGUCGUCAGCUCGUGUCGUGAGAUGUUGGGUUAAGUCCCGCAACGAGCGCAACCCUUGCCCUUAGUUGCCAUCAGGUUAAGCUGGGCACUCUAGGGGGACUGCCGGUGACAAACCGGAGGAAGGUGGGGAUGAUGUCAAGUCCUCAUGGCCCUUACAUCCGGGGCUACACACGUGCUACAAUGGCCGGUACAAAGGGGAGCAAGACCGCGAGGUGGAGCUAAUCCCAAAAAGCCGGUCUCAGUUGGGAUUGCAGUCUGUAACUCGACUGCAUGAACGCGGAAUCGCUAGUAAUCGCGGAUCAGCAUGCCGCGGUGAAUACGUUCCCAGGCCUUGUACACACCGCCCGUCACAUCACGAGAGUUGGGGGUGCCCGAAGUCGUUGUUCUAACCCUUUGGGAGGAACGCGCCGAAGGUAAACCCAACGAUUGGCGCUAAGUCGUAACAAGGUAACC
rnacentral:rRNA from 1 species